CAGUCGCCGCGGUAAUACAGAGGGUGCGAGCGUUAAUCGGAUUUACUGGGCGUAAAGCGUGCGUAGGCGGCUUCUUAAGUCGGAUGUGAAAUCCCUGAGCUUAACUUAGGAAUUGCAUUCGAUACUGGGAAGCUAGAGUAUGGGAGAGGAUGGUAGAAUUCCAUGUGUAGCGGUGAAAUGCGUAGAGAUCUGGAGGAAUACCGAUGGCGAAGGCAGCCAUCUGGCCUAAUACUGACGCUGAGGUACGAAAGCAUGGGGAGCAAACAGGAUUAGAUACCCCUGUAGUCCCUGUCUCUUAUAA
rnacentral:rRNA from 1 species